GUUGGGUUUUUGUUGUUGUUGUUGUUGUUGUUGUUCUGUUUUGUUUUUGCAGUACCCAGGAUUGAACUCAGGACUUUGCCCUUGCAAGGCAGGUGCGGUGCCACUGAGCUAAGUCCCAAGCCCACCUAUAGUGGUUUUAAAACAUGCUCAUUCGAUCUGGUCAGUUUUCUCUCUCUCCAAGCAUCCUAAAUAAUAAGGUGGAAACUGAUGACAAUCUCCACCCCCUAAG
rnacentral:lncRNA from 1 species